UUGUGGCCGGACAACGGAGGGUCGUGAAUCCCGCCAGAUCCGGAAGGAAGCAACGGUAGCGAUACCUUCCGUGUGUUCGGCCAUCCUUU
rnacentral:SRP_RNA from 1 species